rnacentral:lncRNA from 1 species
GGGACACUUCUCGGGAUGAGAGGGUUCCUCAAGCUGUUUUCUUUGUCCUUUUUGGAGAACUAAUAUUUGAACCCACAACACCAUACAUGCUGGGCAAAUGUCUGCCACUGAAUUGUACCACUGAAAAAGCAUGAGCACGCACAUACACACAUACACACACACUCAAGUAUAUGUAAUGUAUACAUAUAUGUAAUAUAUGUAUACAAUACAUAUAUAGUAUAUGUACACACAUGCAUAUAUGAAUAUAUGUUGUAUGUGUGUUAGAUCUCUCACUAAACCUAGAGUUUAUCAUUUAACCUAGAUUAUCUGGCUACUCUCAGACUCUACCUAUCUCUGCCUUGCAAGAGUGGGGUUACAAUCCUGGAUAGUUGUACCUGCUUUUCAUGGGUGCUAGGAAUCCAAAGUAAGGUUCCCAGGCUUUUGCAGCAAAUAUCUUGUACACAGAACUGUCUUCCAGGCCCUUACUUUUUAUACAUUUUUUUAAGCUAUUGAAUUUCUUCUCCCCAAUGAAAAAUGAUAGUAACAUCAAUAAUAAGCCUGUAUUUAUUACAACCAAUGAUAGGACAUAAGGGUGCAAAUUUAAGAAUAUAUGUAAUAUAUAUGUAAUAUAUGUAUUUUUUACCUGAUCUUCCUUGGUUUUGGAGCAAUAGCUAAAUAAUGACACAUGAGAACUGUUUCCAUAAAACGGAACAGUAGUUUACAUUUGAGAUUGAAACUUGAUUUUCUUAUUAUCAUGUAGCAGUCAUCCCCUCCAGUCAGCAAUUAUGACUCUAGAGCGUAGUUUCAAGUUGCUGCAUAAUACCUCACAGCAGGAAACUAUUCAUGUAUACAGAUUUCUCCCACUGUUUCAGCUUUGCACAUAACUACCCAAUAUCUUCCAUUCAUAUAGGGAUUUGGCAAUGUAUGCUUUUGUUUCAACAGGAUAGAAUCUUAAAUAUCUGCCAUCCCCCCACACACACAUCAAAUGUUACAAAUAUUUUAGUGUUUAAUAGAAAUCAUCAUACAUUAUAGAUCAUUUCAAAUUUUCAUUUUUUACUAGUAAUAUAUGAAAGUACCUAUUUUUCGAUGUCUUCAAGUAUGUACUGCUUUUCAAUGUAGAAUACAGUUAUAUUAUCACCUUAUUAUAACAUAGUAACUACUAUCCUAAUAUACUAGCUUCUUAAUUAUUCAUUGUCAAUUAAUUUUUUUCUUUUGUAAAUUACAAAUUCAC